GCCUCCGUAGCUCAGUUGGUUAGAGCAGCUGACUCUUAAUCAGCGGGUCCGGGGUUCGAGUCCCUGCGGGGGUA
rnacentral:tRNA from 1 species